UGAGUAUGGAAGUGCAUAACCAACCGACUUAGCGUAAGAUUAUAGCAAGUCUAACAUUACCUCAUAGGGCGCCUUAUUAUACAAGGCAACAGCCCUAAUAUUGGUGGCAGACUACAACAAGAACUCUACAACGUCUUCCAAAGAAAAACCAGAAUAAUGAAUAAUGUAUCAUCAGAAGUCAACGACGACGAAAGCAACAGAUUCUUCAAGCAACUUAGUAUCAUCGUUUAGUGAGCGACUUCAGAAAACAACAAGAACUCUUCAAUGUCUUCCGAAGAAUAACGAAUAAUGUAUCAUCAGAAGUCAACGACGACGAAAGCAACAGAUUCUUCAAGCAACUUAGUACCAUCGUUUAGUGAGCGACUUCAAAAAACAACGAGAACUCUUCAACGUCUUCCGAAGAAUAACGAAUAAUGUAUCAUCAGAAGUCAACGACGACGAAAGCAACAGAUUCUUCAAGCAACUUAGUAUCAUCGUUGAGUGAGCGUUUCCGGCACUUCAAGAAACAAACCGAACGUGUCUGCAGCAUCAGAUCUUCAAGGGCUCGAAUCAUCCAAACAACGCGCACGGGGGAAACUGAAGCCAAAACCAGGCAUCCACUAAACCGAAGGAGGGCCAAGGCCGUGUGUCGUUAUAGGAACACCGUGACUUCCCACAAAAUCAAGCUAAGUACAAUCUUUUUAUUCAUUUGGAGUAACUUUAAGUGUUUCCUUUGCAGGUCGAAUUUCGUUAUUCCUGUGGCUGAAGUUACGAGACAUUCUUAAUCUUACUUUUUUACAGAAAUUAUCUACAUCAUUGGGAUGUCGCUACUGCGAGUUUCUAUCUGAGUUUCUGUUUCCAGAAGUUCUACUGAAAUAUCAUAAUCAUAUACUGAGUUUCUGUUUCCAGAAGUUCUACUGAAAUAUCAUAAUCAUAUACUGUGUUAAUUUUAUCAUUUUGGGUGAUUAUUAAUCCUUUACGUAACAAAUCAUAUUAACAGUGAAUAUGCGUUUACGCAGUGGACGUCUGUAUUUAUACAGAUGCAUGGAUAGGGUCAUUAGGCACAGUAGUGAUAAGAAAACACACAAAAACAAGUGGAACACCCGUACAAAUCUAGAUAAAUUAGAGGUAACACUAUUUCGGGUCAAACAAUAAAAGCUCCUUUGCAAAGUCCUGAUCGCAGUUUAGCCUUGAGUUUUUUUGAGUUAUAUGCUUAAAAUAUCGAACCUUAAUGACUCAACUUAACUUUAAAAAAUACGGCUGAGUUGCAAGGAAUAACAUGUCUAUAAAAAACUUUCAUUAGGCUAAAUGCGCAGACCAGGAUCCCUCACUAUUUCAAAUUUUAGCAAAGAAUGAAGUAAACAACAGCAAGUAGAAACAGUUAAUAUUGAAUGCAGUAGAGAUAACUUGUUUUAAUAGUAAUCACUCAAUUCUGUAUAGUUCAAGUCAUUCAUACGUUCGUUGCUUUAUACGUAACUAGCAGCAACAUAAUGCUAAAAACACACAAUACGUUGCCGAUGGUAAUAAAGAGAAGAAUCAAACAAAUCAUGGUUAAGCAAACUCGGUUACUGUGUCCUCUAGUCAACGGUCAGGGUCAGUUAAAUCUGCCGAGUAUAGCAAGCAAAGCACAUUCCACAUAAGCGACUUCAGCGGAGAAGAAAAACGAUGUUGGAUCACUUAUACCAUACCUUUUUUUUUCAUGCCAAUACCUUUUUGAAUUAAAAAGGAAUUUCCCUAUGAAUCACACGACCGUAUCAAGUAAUCAGAGCAGGUUCUCGUUUUUUUAAUACAUAAGUUAUUAUAAGUAGUGGUGGAUUAAGCCCGACUGUACGCGCUGUAAAAAUUAGAAUACCUUGUUUUUAUGCCUUUAGUCCACGUAAUAUCCUGUAUUUACGGACUCACCAUCUGUUUUUCGAAUUUCCCUAUUGAGACGAACUUCCCUAUUGAGAAGUCCAGAUAAGCGAGCGCUUACAGAUACCUCUAUAGUUAUAAAAAACAUUGAUCUGUAUCGAGCGUAAUUGUAAGAUAUCCAUCUAAGGGUAUACAAAAUAUUAUCUUACCUCCUGCAAAAUAAGGUGUGUUUAUCAAAGGAAAAUUCUAUAAACCUUCAAACAUAUUAAAAUCCGUUUUGAACAAAAAGAGACAGUUAAUCAAAUAAUAACUUAUAUAGAGGAACAAAUCAUUCGUCUCAUAAAUCGUGAAAUUGUUCAACGACCCAACAGAAUUCUCCCACAACCGCAGUCGCAGUUUGCACGCAAAAUCUCGAGACGCAUGCACCCUCGAAUGUCUUAGUGCGUGUAAAAAGACUUUGCUGGGAUCUGAAAUUUUAAUCCUUCCUGACACUCUGAAAUAUAACGAUUUCUGCGAACAAAGCCCUAGACACAGUUGACUCGCAGCAACAAGUUAAUCUAGUAAUCCACAAAACCUGUACAUAUAAAUAUCGCAUUUUUUUUUAUUGUUGCUAAUUUUUAAUCACGCCCAAUCAGUCGUAGAUGAAUCUCUCUUAUACUCUAUCUAAAGUAAUAUCCGUAAAGUCAUUCAAGCAGAGGUGAUUCAGCAGAAAUUUUUUUUUUUAUCUUUUAUCUGAAUACCAGGAAGUUUCUCCACUAGCGAGUGAUCUCUGGGAGAAAAACGGAUGUCAUUGAAAACAAAAUACGGUCUAAGGACAAACAUAAAGCUAUAUACGUACCUUCGUAUAGAACCCCAAUGAAAUUUUAAAAUAGAGACAAAUGACGAAGUUGAAAAAUGUUAGUAAUAGGAAUCAUUAGGAAAUCAAAUAAGCCCAUAUAAUUUUUCCCUCAAACGUCAUGCCAUAAAAGAUCGGACUUGGCGUAUCUGCGUAGAUUUCUGUUGCUUAAACAAGGAAACGACUCCCGAUAGUUUCCAGUGCCAUGUACCGACGACAUCUUAUCUCUGUUAGGUUAGAAUAAAUUUUUCACCAGCUUGGACUUACUUAAAGGCUUUUUUCCAGAUACCAUUACCUAAGUGAUUGUACCUCAUACACCGUUUUCAGCACACUCAGGGGACAUUAUCAAUUUUUACUUAUGCCUCCAGCUUACGUUGCGCCCCAAUUACAAUAUAGUGUUUGGAGACUUUUAGGGGAUACCCAACAUGCCUAUUGGUUGGUCUUGUAAUCCUUUCUAAUACCUUUGAAGUACAUUCACAUAAAGUAGAGCUAGUGCUACAGAGACAAAGACAAAUAAUCUCAGAGUAAAAUAUCUAAAUGUGAGUUUUAAAAAACCGAACAUGUUUAUCUAGGUUUUAUGUGUCUAGUCAAGGUCUUAAAAGUAGUCCAUGGAAAGGUGUCGGCUAUUCAUAACUUCCGGUACCUAUUAACGUAAAAGGGGGAUACAGCACUUUUGCGCUGUAGUGGGUAUUACAAUCGUAUGUAAAUAUGUAACUCUUCAAUCAUAGCAGCUCCUUUAACAGAUCUUACGAAGAAGAGCGUAGAUUUAUUAUGGUCUAAAAAGCAUCAACAGGCGUUCGAUAUCUUAAAAGCGGAAUAAUGCAGCUCACCUAACUUAAAAAUCCCUGAUUUAAAUAAGGAUUUUUUUUUUUUAUUGCAACAGACGCCCAGACCAAGGGGUAAGAGGGGUACUACUUCAGCAAUAUGAUAAACAGUUCUUCCCUAUAGCUUUUUAUUCACGUAAACUAAAGCCCUCUGAAAGUAAAUAUGCAGUAAUAGGCAAGGAAGGGCUAGGUAUCGUUAACUCACUAAUACAUUUCAAGUUCAUAAUCUACGGCAAAGAUGUUAAAAUCCUUACUGACCAUAAGUCACUUACCGAGUUUUUCAAAGGCCUUAAUCACAGUCCCAAAGGAACUCGUUGGCAAAUGAUCAUUCAGGUCUUUGGAGCCAAGUUAAGAUAUCUAACUGGGAAAGCAAUUAUCAUAGCUGACGCAUUAUCCCGCAAUCCCGCACCAUACUGCAAAGAACCAUUAAUUGGACUAAAAGAUAUAGAAACAUCCGUGCCUAUUGUUAAAACCGUAUCUAAACAAGAAAAUUCCUUAACCCAAGAGAUCGCGAGCAUUGAAUAUCUGGGUUGGAGCGCCGAACUGUUACAAACUGAACAAAGCAAGAGUCAACAGCAAUAAGCAAAACAAUAAACACUUCGAACGGAAACAGGGUCAGCAGCUAAGCAAAACAAUAAACACUUUGAACGGAAACAAGGGUCAGCAGCUAAGCAAGACAAUAAACACUUCGAACAGAAACCCUAAAGCAAAAGUAUAUUUAAAGUAUGUGUAUCGGAAUAAUGUAAUCAAAUGUAAUAUUAUAUGUAGGUCCGUGACGAGGAAAACCCGAAGAACACAGCAGAUGACUAACGACCAGGUAGUAAUAAUAAUCUCUUCUAUACCAAUCGUCCUAAACUGGUUGCAUUCCGUCAUCCAGGGUUCUCUAUUAUGUCACAGAAAGCCAAAUCACUGUUUUACUGGCCUACAAUGCUUACAGAUAUAAAAAGCACAUAACUAAUUGUAACAUGUGUCAUGAAAACAAAGGAUACACUUAAGACACCUGUCAGUUUAGGGGCCUAUCCUGUGCCAAAUCAAUCCUUGAAAGAAUAUACGUAGAGUUAUUAACAGAAUUACGAGUCUGACAGAGGAAAUAAAUACUUCUUAGUGUUAAUAGUUCCUUGACCCGUUAUAUAGAAUUAAUAGCACUAAAAACAAACACACCGCAAUUGAGUGCGCUAGGAAUAUUUAUGAGUGCUAAAUCAGUAAACAUGGAAUUCAACACAUAAUAAUCUGUGACUUGGGUGGCGUAAAUCAAUAAUAAUCUCCUUAACUCGUUGUGUGAAUUCCUUUCCAUUAUGAAAACCAUAUUUUAUCACCCAGAGUCAAUAGGUUUGGUAGAACGGAUAAAUAAAAAAGUGUCAAUGUCUUACGAGUUACAACUCGUGAUAUUGGAUCCGAACUGGAUUAUAGCGGUUCUCGCGGUUUUAAAUACCUUUGUCAUUCAUAUCUUGUAUCUAUAGAAAUGAUACCGCAAGUAGCCUUAUACGGUACGCCGCUAGGACACUUUUCCACAUAUUCAAGCCAACCAUUAAUUUAUCAAAUAUAAAAAAUAAAUAAAUAAAUAAAAUAAAUAAAUAAAAUAAAAUAAGUAUGGAUACAAGUGGAGCCAAUAUAAUACAUUCCGUAAGAAGUCGGAAGGGUUACAAAUUAUAAAAUAAAAAAAAAAAGGAAUCACGAUAAAAUUAAUAAGCAAAACGUAACCAUAGGUUAAUUAAAUAUCCAAAUAUAUAUGCAUAAAGAUUUGGACUCUAACUUAACGCUUUAGUAAUGACAAAUAAGCUUAAAGUUCAAACACAUAUCAAAACCUACUGACAUAUUGUCUGUCCUGGUGAUUUAUAUUCGUAGUCAAUGAAAAAAAAAAAUAAAUAAAUAAAAUAAAAUAAAAUAAAAUAGAUUUUAAAGUCAGGAAGUCUAGAAGUGAAAAUUUAUAUCUAUGGAAUAAUCCUAUAUGGAUCUUACAGGGCAAAUAAUAUAUAUAGAAUUUGUAUGGAAACCUUUUUUCAUUAGUUUGAAUAAGGAAUAUCUAAUUUAACAUAAUUACAUUUAUUUACAAUCAUGCAGAUUUCCAACAUGAAACUAAUAUAUUGUUCAAUUUUGAUACUGUUUUUUUUUCAGACAUUCUUCUCAUGUGGGUGGAGAAUUAAAACAAAAAAAUAUCAUUUGAAAAUACUAAAGUCGUAUCUUUUACAGCAAGUAACGUAACUCUUAGCUGGCUGAGAGCAAUCUCCUGCCACGGGACGACGUCAUCAGUUCUGAAGGCUGAUUAAUGGAACCUGGUUACAGUAUCCUGCAGUACGAGAGUUUCACAUCGCAACUUCAAAAAAUCGUUCGUCGCUGCGGACAACUGCAGUCAAGUAACAACCGCCUACAAUGUGAAAGGAAUAAGCACCAUCAUAAGUGAACGAGCUUAUUUCAUGGACUUCUUCGACCGACACCCGUAUCCCGUCGUUAAUCUCGUUUUAAUGCGGAAUGCUCCGGCGGCUGUCGGAAAUCUACUACAAAAGGGACAUACCUCCGACAAUUACGACCAGAAGGAUAUUCAACUCUACGUUGCUGGCGAAGGACUCGUGCUAGAGAUGAUUUUAUUCAUCGCGAACGUAUUCGUGUGGCUUAGGAUGCAGAGAACAAGUAUGAGGCCGGAAUAGAACGUUGGACCCCGCCAGGCAAUUUUCCCCUUGUUUUAACCAUUUGGAAUUGGCCAUUUCAUUUGGCUAUAGGUGGUUGUCUGGAACUGUGUAAUGGACGAAAAGUUGUUCGAACGCUAGUUAAAUGUGUAGUAGUAUAACCUCGGUCAUGUAUCCUAUAUAUAAAGUAUCAUGUAUCCUAUAUAUAAAUGAUCAUAAAUAACAGAAUCUAAAUAUAUCUUUGCGUGUACGCACUAGGAAUCUAUUUAAAGUACUCAUAUAUUAAUCAUAAUUAUAUGAAUCCAUAUACAUAUGUAUAAAUAAAUCAGGUAGCCUAUAAUCAAUCUGUUACAUUUUAUCUUACCAAUAACUGCAGAUAUAUAACAGUUAGCAUAAAAAUCAACGAAUCAAUCAGCAUAAACAUUAAUAAUUUUUAUCAAUUCAUAUAUGAAAUUUUUAUCAGUUAAAAUAUGAUUUUUAUCAUGUUAAUCCUUAUUCUAUGCAAUUAUCAAGAGUACAUUAGUAUUUUCUGUAGCAUAUGUAUCUUAAAGAGAUGAAGUGAAAAACUGUACCAGUAUAUAUCACGUGAUCACUAUUACUUAUGAAUACUAUCAUAUGCAUAUUAUGUUUUAUAUCUUAUUACUUGAAUCUGUAUUUGUGUACACCAUGAAUUUUUUUUACUUAUAAGUAUUUUCUAUAUAUCUAUAUAUAUUCACAUAGUGUCUGUAUCACACUCCUAUAAGUCAAAUGCAAGUCAAGUUUGAGUAAUAUUCAGUAGUUGGUUUUGGUAGCUGACCGAGCUUUUAUGUAAGUGAUUACAUAAUAUGGAAUGUUACUCCAUAUAUAUAAAAAACUAAAACUAAAGAGGUCAACCAGAUUGCUUGCAGGAAUGUGAUCAGACCAGAGACGCUAAGAUGACGUAUACAAUAAAGUAGGCCGUCACCUGUGGUCAUUCAUUUGUUUUGAAAACAUUAGUCCAAGCUCCCUGCUUGAGACAACUACCGCGACCUAUAAUUCAAACGGCCUACGUGAUUAGUAAUGUGUCUCAUUUUGUAUGUAUGUUCGUAUGUUCGAGCUACUGUCUGCUUCCUUUAUGACUUGUAACCGAGAUGGUAGACAAGACAGAACAGAAUUAGCCAUCAUCGUUGGCAGAAGCGAUCAAGCCAUCGUCAUUAGAAGACCUGUACAAUCCUACCUGAUCUUCACCAUGUUAUCUCAGAGAAUAUAAGUAUUUUUUAUA